GAUGAACGCUAGCUACAGGCUUAACACAUGCAAGUCGAGGGGAAACGAUAUUGGAAGCUUGCUUCCGAUAGGCGUCGACCGGCGCACGGGUGAGUAACGCGUAUCCAACCUGCCCACCACUUGGGGAUAACCUUGCGAAAGUAAGACUAAUACCCAAUGAUAUCUCUAGAAGACAUCUGAAGGAGAUUAAAGAUUUAUCGGUGAUGGAUGGGGAUGCGUCUGAUUAGCUUGUUGGCGGGGUAACGGCCCACCAAGGCGACGAUCAGUAGGGGUUCUGAGAGGAAGGUCACCCACGUUGGAACUGUGAUACGGUCCAAACUGCUACGGGAGGCAGCAGUGAGGAAUAUUGGUCAAUGGGCGAGAGCCUGAACCAGCCAAGUAGCGUGCAGGAUGACGGCCCUAUGGGUUGUAAACUGCUUUUAUAAGGGAAUAAAGUGAGCCUCGUGAGGCUUUUUGCAUGUACCUUAUGAAUAAGGACCGGCUAAUUCCGUGCCAGCAGCCGCAGUAA
rnacentral:rRNA from 1 species